UUUUUUUUUUUUUUUUUUUGGCCUCCAUUCAACCCAGAAAAAAUAUACUCCAUCUGUCUCACUUUGAUAGUCCUGAUUCUUUUUUCACACAGUUUAAUAAAAAGUAGUUAACUUUGUUGGAACAAUCAAUUUAGGUAGCUAUUUUUCUAAAAUAACCUCACAUUAAUUAGAGUACAACUUUAUGAGAAUUUGAAUUGAUGGUAAAAAAAGAAUCAACUCUCGUUAAAUGGGGUAUGUUUAUAGUAACAACAACUUACCUUGAAUAAAGGUAUUUUAGGAAAAUUAAAAUACAACUACAUUUUUCAAUUGGAAAGUGGACUACAAUUUGUGACAGACGAAAAAGGAAAACAGGACUAUCAAAGUGGGACCGAAAGAGUACUAUUUUUUUUUAAAAAAAUUGUAUUCUAAGGUUAGCACGCUCAAGGAUAUGGCUCAAUAAAUUGUAAACCAAGGUUAAAUGCAGCUAGUGAUCCUAAUCUCAAUUAAUAGCGUUGCAUGUAUUAGCUCAAUAAUCAGAAGUCAAGGGUUUUGCUAUACUAACACUUGCUUGCUGUACAGCAACAAACCAACAACAUAUCCAUAAUGGCUAAUUACACUUCACCCUCUUAUAAAUCAAUACGUAGCGUUGACCGUGUUAAUUAACAUAUGUUGUUAGUAUUUAUGAUCACUAGCAUAGGUUUCUAGACACUUAAUUGCCAGGUCAAUCCCUUCUUGUUUUCCAUCAAAAUUUGUAUGUAGAUUAAAAGCUUAAUGUGAGUUGUCUCAUUUCAUUUUUUCCUUUAAUGGAACUCGAGUGAUAUUAAUGCUUAGGGUGCGUUUGAUAAAAUUAAAGUUUGAAAUCGAAAAUCUGAAUCAAUUAAAUUAUUGAAUUAUUAAGUAUUAAAUCUAAUACAUUUAAGUGCAUAUCACAUUCAGUAAAUAGUUUACACUUAAUUUUGAGAGCAAAUUUUGCCUAAGAAAUUUAGUGUCAUUUAAUUAAUUCAGAUGUUCAAUUUUUGAUUAUCAAACAGUCUGAAUAUGUUAAGAUCUGAUUAUCAAACAAUCUAAAUAUGUUAAAAUCUAAAUCUAUUAAGUUUAAGUGUUGAAUUAGAUUAUCAAACGGGGUCUUACUACAUUGCAUUGUUUUGGUUGCAAACUGACAUACAGUUCAAAAUUAUGCGUAAAAUGAGUCAAAAAGGAAGAGAAAGGUAGUACAAUUCGCAAUUGAACAUGUGUGGUCCUAUUUCAUCCCUCACAAUUGGGAAUUAAUGAGUUGAAAUGAUACCUAAUUCCCAACUACGAGUUGUAAGCCUCUUCAGAGGGUAAAGUCUGGUUAAUCUCUGUCAAAACAGAGAACACCAUCCCAUUUUAGAUACCUUACUAACUGGCCCUAUGCUGACUUCUAAAAGAGCAUAUAACUAGGACGUUCAUUGUGGGGGGUCAAAAAUCCAAGAUUGAACAGUCAGUCUGAAGACAAUACGAACACCUAAUUAGCAUCCAUACUGAGUCUGUUUAAGAAAAGCUUUAUUUUCAGUAGUAUAAGCUGCUAUUUAUCUUCGGAACCCAAAACUUCCCUGAAAUGAAGCUGCACAAUCUUGUAGAAUCUGCUAUUUGAACCAUUUACCAGUGAAGCUCUUGUGCAAUCAGCUCUCCAUGGAGAUGUUACCCUAGACAGCACACCUCCUUGAUCAAUAUGCUCUUGAUAAUCCAGCAGGAAACAGCAUUCUGAUUUCUGAAAGAAAUGCAGGGAAGAACUAACAUGGAUAGAACUCUGACCUUCAAAUAUGACUAGCAUCCUGGCGUGGGUCAUUGAAUUACAGACAAAUCCGUGGUAGCAUAUUCUAAGUUGAAGAGUUGAGUAUUCCGGCUAAGCGUAUUUACUGAAAUGGCACUGGAACACCCAUCUCCUUAUUGACGAUAGCCAUAGCCAAGUACCGCGUACCCAUUCCUAUAGGUGUCUGCUCAUCAGGACCCUCCCAAAAUGGGGCUUCACCUUCGCCAACCAAACGCCAGUAGCCUGUCCUCAGGGAAUCAGCUUGUUCAUCUGUGCAAUUCUCUAGCAAUGCUUCUACUCGAAAAUUAAUGCCAAGAGAGCCAAGAAGCUGAGACUGGGUGAUUGGGCCAUGGACUGUCACAUUUUCUGCAAAACAUCACCCUAUCAGCAUUUGCAAACUAGUAAUUUUCACAUUCUCCGUGUAUUUUUGAGGUAGGUUUUUAUUUAUUUUUUCAGAUUUCUAUCUCCAAAAGCAAAAUAAUUUAACUAAAAAUCUCAGAAGAUGAGAAUGAGGUUACCUGAAAUUUCCUCAGCAGAGUGCCUUAUUGCAGUAAAAUCAACAUAUGCACUGAGAUCAGCGGAGCCAGGAUUAUCCAAUAUAUUGACAAAUUUGUGUUUUCGAAUUGCCUGCAAAAAGCUAUCAUGAGUCCUGGAAUAAUUUUUCCUAUAUUAGCUAGUGAAUCUCAACAGAACAAUUGAUAUUAACAUGGGGCACCAGUUUGGAAAGAUUCAAUAAUAAAACAAACCUUAUGCAGUAAAAGUCCUAAUUUUACACAAAAAAAGAAAAUAUCAAGCAACUCCGAAGUCCGAAACACAGCUUCAAUCAACCAAGUGCGUGUAGAGUGCAAUGACAAACCAAGGCAACAACCUGAAGACUGUCUGAGACUAUUCCGUUGACUCCAUAAUCAAUGAUGAGAGCUGCACCACCAUCUGAACCUAUUCUUUUAGCAAUUGUUUGAGUCAAAUCCAUUGCUCUUGGGCAAAUCUCAAUCUGCGAAAGCUUUGCUAUUUCUUCAGUCUCAGCCCACUUGCAGCGUUUGAUUAAAUACAGAGUUGCAGGUGUAGGCCGAGGAGAUAAAACAAAAUGAAACCUAAACAACAAACCACACACCAUUUAUCAUCAGGAAAUUCAACCCUUUUAGUUAAAACUAUGCCUACAAAGAAAAGUUGACAUGAUUCUAAGACUUACGAUGAGUUUUCGUCAACAUCAAUCAUUUUCUCAUGCCAUCCAUGAGAAGCUCUCUGCAGACAAAUCACAAACAGGGUAAACGUGAAAGGGAAUAACAAGAUGCAACAUAAGAUGAUCAAUUAUUUCCCUUUUGGGUUUUUUUUGUUGUUAGUUUAUUUCAGAUGAGAUAUGACUGUUACAUCAAAAGAACAGCCCUAGAAGAUUUGCUCUUCUUGAUUCAGAAUCCUUCUAUGAGUGGAUGGAGAACAACAGAGGAACCAAGAGAAAAAACGUCAGAGAAUCACAGAAGAACAGAAGAAUUGUGUUAUCAGCAUGAAAGUCCAGAAUGGUACCAUAAUUAAUGGAACAGUGUUCUAGUUCCAAAGGCUUAUAAGAGAGUUUCAGAAACAAAGCAGCCAAAACUUGAUGAGUCCCAAAAUUACAAAAAUCACAUCACAUGGCCCCUAAGAAAACUAAAUUCUACAACUCAAUUAAUAAAGUGCAAGAAUUCAGUAACCUAAGUUUAUUCAACCUACCAGAUUUUGCAAUUAAAUUUUUUCUUAACAGAAGCUCAAAUGAAAAAUCUAUAGUUGCUAAAAUUUCCAGCUAUGCGUGAAAUCUAGAACUUUUCAGCAUCAAGUUUCUAAGGUUAGCCCCAUUCACAUGCAUUCACAUAUAAAUGAUGCAACAAAAUAAGAGAACAAAAGUGUCAAAACAACAGUUCUACUAUACACACCUGAAACUGAUGAACAGGAAGGGCAUCAUAGAACUCAUGGGCUACAAUGAUCGUCGGCACUGGAGAAAAAAAAAACAUAAAACCAUUGCCUGGGUACUUAGUUUCAGGGCUUUUAAAAACAUCAUCAACACAUUAGACUGCCAUGACAUUGAUUCCUAAGCACAGGAGAUCUUACAGAAAAAAUAUGGGCAAGGAUUUCCAAACUGAAACUGAACAGCCGUUAUGACAAAAUUUAGAUAUACUUCUCAAGCAUGUAUGCAUCAGAAAACAUUUCACUGAAAACAGAUAAUCAAACUGACUGUGCUAAAUCGUAAGUAAACUAGGAGACAGGAGAAUCAAAAGUAGACAUCAAUGCCCGAGCACAAAACAUAGCACUGUACAACUUCACGUGCACAUUGCACAGAAAAAGUCCAUUUUGGAGGCAUAUUGCAUUCCAAACAAGUAAAUACAGUGAAUGAAACAUAUUAGCAGCAGUCAAGCUCAGCUCCCAUCAUUGGUAUGCCUGUUUAUUUUUUUCUUCUCUUUUUUUUUUUAAUAAUAUAUCUAUCAGAUGCAGAGCCCAAAAUAUCUUCUUACAUCCAGUAGGAACCUCCUCCAUUGUAGCAUGCCAAGAUACAGGACUGCCAGUCAUAGUACUGACUAUUUGUUUCUCCCCAUCCUCACCCUCACAUUUCAAGGUCUGAUACUGGAGUUUCCGCAGCACUGGACUGCAUUCAACCAUGUGUAUGUGCACAGAUUCUGUAAAGUUCUUAAACUUGGAAACACCCUACAAUUGCAACCUUUUAGAAUUCAAUAAACAAUACCCAACAAUUCAUCAAUGGACCAGCAAAAAACAGCACUCUCUCUUACUCUUAGAAGGUCUGCCAAGAGAGUUCCUCGCCCUGGUCCCAGUUCAACUAAAUUCACCUUUUCCGGUCGUCCCAUUUGCUCCCAAGCGCACAUUACCCAUACACUAAUCAUCUAACAUAAGUAGUUUAAGAACAAUACUAAAUCAGGAAAAAACAGACAACCCAUCUUAAAAAACAUGCUUUUGACCAUAUCAAGGUUAAAAAAAAAUCACCUCCCCAAACAUCUGGCUCACUUCAGGAGAGGUAAUAAAAUCCCCUUGAGCUCCAAAAACAUCCCGGUUAAUAUAGAAACCAGCUUUUGGGUUCGUCAAGACUUCCUCCAUGUACUCCGCCACCGUGAUGGGUCCACCCCUGAAUUUGAUGAUUCCUUUUAGAUUCUUAACAAGCUCAGAAUCAGAAGUCGGGCCAUGGGAAUGUUCUGCCAAAGUUCGGAAGCCAAUUAUUUAGGUCAUUAAGCUAAUUGAAGUAAUUCGCAUUGAAAAUUGUCUAAGCAUGUAACAAGCACCAGGUGGCUUAUACAAGCCAGAGCGGUCGAUGGAGAUUUUGGUAGAUGGCGACGGAGUGCAGGGAGAGUCUUCCAAGUGUUCGACGCAAGUACUAUUAGGAGUGUGUGAAUGUGAAGAAGAGGAAGGAGUGGAAGUGGAGCAUUGGCGAAAUGGGUUAUAUAUGCCCGGUGAAGAAGAUGAUGGUGCCGCGAGAAGGCGCCGAUAAUUAGCGGAAGCCUGAGCUGCUACUCUUCUCAACAUUUUCUUGUCCUACUCACGGCUGCUGCAGCUACAGAAUUCAGGAGGAUGCGAAGGUGGGGAAGACGAAAUCAGUGGAAAACGAGGUGGGCGGGCAAUGGGGGCCUGCACGAGCCGCGCCUCGCGCGUCAUAUGCUUGUGGAAAAUUUUCUUGUGGAAACUCCUCCUCUCUUCUUUUUGUGGUUAAAGAUGCCAAAGGACUAAUCUCGCCUUACAUAUGAUUACAAUCUCUCUUGAGCCAUGAUUUUAAUGUAAUAAUGUAUUCUUCUACACAAACUCGUAAAGACAAAUUGUGAUAAUAUAUGUUAUUUGAUUUUGUGAUAAUGGAAAUUCCUCGUAAUACUUAUCUUAAGAGUUUAGAUUUAAUUUUUUUUGUCAUUCAAUUGUACUUUGCAUAUUAUACAUUUUCAAGUUAGUAUUUAUUACUUUAAUUGGAAGUCGCCUUUAGAUGGGCAAAUCAGUGAAGCAUCUUGACUCGAAUUUGCGAGUAGUUCAAUUAAGUAUUCGACUCGACCUUAAUCAAUGCCAAGCUUAAAUCAAUUUCAAGCUGCUUGAUUGAGUUUUCAAGUCAAACUUGAGUAUAUAUAUCAUGUAUUUGAGAGCUCAUUGAGCCCUGUCAAGUACUAGGUAUAAUAUUUAAUUAAUAUAUUAUAAAUAAUUAAAUUACUUUUUUUAAUUGAUUAAUUGCAAUAUUUACGACUCUAAUCGUUUGUCGAGCUUGCUAGAAUUCUAUUGAGUUGAUUUUGGAGCUUCCCAAUAUUACGUCAAGUCGAGGUUGAAUUUCGUUUAAGCAACUCGCUCGAACUUGAGUAUUGCUACUAAGUAUCGAGUUCAAAUUUGAAUAUGGCAAUACACGAACUAGACUAGACUUCAUAUCACACAGGUCAUAUAUUAUUGUAACAACUUUCUCAAUACUUGAUGAUACUUUUUUCAUAUAUUAAAUUUUCAAGUUUGAAAGGAAAAAAUUCUUUUAAAAUAAAAUUAUAGUUUUUUUUAAAUUUUUUUAUGAUUUGAUGUAUGUGAAAAUGAAAAGAUAAUUGAAAAGAUUAAAAAAGAUAAUUGAAAAGAUCAAAAUAUGCUCACGUGAGAGAGGCGUGCUAUUUUCAAUCGGAGAAAUGAGCAAAUACGAGCAUUAGGGCCAAAAUGGAUCAUAAUUUAAAUAUUAGGGACAAUUCUAGCUGAUUUUAAAUGUUAGGGACUAAAAAAGUUUUUUUGGCAAAUAUUAGGGACCAAUUUGACAAUUUUCCCUUUCAUAUAUUAAAUUUUCAAGUUUCAAGUUUGAAAAGAAAAAAUUAUUUUAAAAUAAAAUUAUAGUUUUUUAAUUUUUUUUUGGUGAUUUGAUGUUUGUGAAAAUGAAAAGAUAAUUGAAAAGAUCAAAAAAUAAUUGAAUUGAAAAAAACGUGUUUAUGAGAUAUGACCACCUAUUCAAACAAAACCUAGUACUGCAUCUAAUUUUGAGAAAUUUGAGAAUCAAAAACACAUGCAUGAAUGAUGUAUGCUUAAGGGGCACAUUUAAUCAAACAGGUAACAAGCAAUCCCAGCAGGCGCAUCAGUUCCAUGCCCGAUGCUGCCCACUCCUCUGAGCCGAAGCAGCUUCAGCCCAAACAAUAACCAGCCAAGCAACGAAAUUGUAAGUACAUACGCAACAUCAUUUGACUCUCAUAGAUAGAAGUGGAGUGGUUAUAUAUAUAUUCUUACGGUCUUUCGAAUUUUUUUGUUUGGGGUUAAGUUUUCUUUCUUCAAAACUUUCAAAGAUUUUUUUCUUCUCGUCUGAUAGAAGAAAAGAAGAAAAUCCUCCAACUUAGGUCUAUUAUGCGUAUGUCUUCUGGGUGUUAUGCUCAUAUUUUACUGUUAUGCUUUGCUUCCUGAGUAUGAAAUGAUGGAAUUAUCUGGCAAUUGAAUGCAAACUUCAUGCUGCUAUAGUUCUGUUCUGCUGAUGUUUGGGGACUCUGACCCAAAAGGAUUCCUUUUUUAAUUUCUCAAUGAUGUUGGACAAUGUUGCUUUCUCAUAGCAAGCCAUGGUUUUGAACAUCAGCCCAAAUAUGGGUUCCUCUUGAGUUACACAAUCUAAAUCACUUGCAUUUAUUCUCUUGAGUAUUUUUUUUUGGGGGAUUGCAUCCCCAUGAAGGAAAAAGGUGCAGGGAAGACAAAAUUUCGUGCUUUGUUAGUUAUAUAUAUGUAAAAGAAAAAAGAAUUUUUGAAAGCUGCAAGUGACUGUUGAUAGUAAUUAUGAAUAGUUCAUUGCUUCAAUUGGUUCUGUGACAUUACUUUAGCACAUUGUUUAGAAAAGCUUGAGACUUUACUGUAUUGCAUGACUAUUUGUGCGAGUAAUUUGUGUUUUUUCAACAGAUAACCAGGGGAAUUGAUGAAAUAGUAAUAGAUGCUUAGCAGGUUGUCAAGGCACUAUUUUUGCAGCAUUUCACCUCAGCCAUGGCUCUUUGUGGGCUUGGGGAAUCCUGGUGAUAAAUUCAAGGGAACACGACAUAAUGUAUGUCUGAGGAUUUUCUUGUUACGAGAAUGAUGUAUGCUUUUGUUUGUUGGAAGGUCUAACUUUGCCCUACCAUUGUUGGAUUGAAACAGGUAGGUUUUGAAAUGAUUGAUGCAUUUGCAGAGUCAGUAGGGAUUCCAAUGGACACGGUUCACUGCAAAGCUGUAUUUGGAAAAGGCAUGUAGCGGUACUUGACUUAUGUAUACCAAGUGCAUGUGUUGUUGUGUUUGAACCUAAUUUGCAAUAAGCAUGCUUUUCAUUCCAAGUUUGACAACAGGAGUUGAUUAAUUGAUCUUCAGGUUUUGUAAAUGGCAUCCCUGUUUUCCUUGCAAAGCCCCAAACAUACAUGAAUCUCAGUGGUGAAUCUGUAAGUGAUUCAAUAUUUCCUUUACAUCUCCAAGGUUGACAAUUUUGAAUAUGCUUAUUAUGAUAAAUUAUGUUCCUGUGAUAGCUCUAGCUGCUCUUCCAUUUUAAGAAAUUAUAUACUAUAUGAGAUAGUAGUUAUGUUUGUCCUUCUAUUUCUUCCUUUUCUUUUUUUCUGCAAAAUUAGUAUUAUAAUUUUCAAUCCUUUUCCAAAAUCUAGAUUGAGCAAAUGAAUAAUGAUCAACUAACACACAAGAAAAAAAAUAAAAGAACAAAAGAGUGUUAGAGAAUUUUUGUUGACUGCCAAUGAAAUGAACUUUGCUACAAUUUGUUGCAACGAUGACUUAAUCUGGUACUUGUUUUCAGUUUGUGGCAAAAAGUUUCCUUUCUCACAUAGUUUAUAUGUUUUUAGUGUUGUGAAGCAUUUUUAUUUGCUUUUUAAAGGAUAACUCUAUUGAUAAACUAGUUGGAGAUAUGGAAUAUGGUCAAGAUCAAAAUGUUUCACAGAAAGUGUUUGUCUAAAACUUUUUUUUUUUCCCUUGCUAAUUACUUUUUGAGAAAAUCUUUUUUUUGUUCGUGUUUUCACUUGAUAUUGCUCAGCAUGCAAACUAUUCAUUUCAAUUUGUUCUGAUGAUUACUUCCAUGUGUCCUUUUUUUUUUUUGGCUCAGAGUGGUCCACUUGCAGCGUAUUAUAAGCUUCCUCUCAAUCGUGUCAUUGUGGUAGGUAGCUCAAUCUUGACUGAUAUAUGUUUACCUUUGGGUUAAGGGAUGUAUUGUAAAGACAUGUUUUUGGUUGUAGUUUCAUGAUGACAUGAACUUGCCAUGUGGCGUACUUCGUCUUCAUCACAACGGGGGCCAUGGAAGUCAUAAUGGGUAUGAAAUAACAACUUUCUGUGUUGAUAUUGUAUAAGAUUAGUUUCCAUUGUCCUGACAAGUUGUUGUCCUUGUCAACCUCCCUCUCCUAAAGUGAUAAUAAUGUUUUUGAUUCUAUUUAUCUAGUUAUGUAAUGCAAGUGAAACUUGACUAAACAGCCAUUGCAUGAUCUUGAUGGUCACCGACUUCAGUAUUUGUUGAUCGUAUUUUAAUUUGCUUGGUUGACAAGAUGCACUUCAUCUAUGGUUUUGGCAGAGGGUUCUUUGCUCCUUCCUGUUCUCUGUAUCUUUUCCCUUUCACUGAAUUCCCACAAACAUGUAUUCACCGCUCAAAUUGAGCAUGCAGCUGGUUGACAAGGAGUUCUUAAAAUUUAUCCUCUUGGGAGUACAUCCAAAAGCUUUGCGUUAGUAUCUUCUGAAUAAACUGCAAUGAAGCAGCCUUAAAUUCUUUCUUUCCAAUGUUUUAUUUUCUUGCCCUAUGAGAUCUCUCAGUUUCUAACUUGUACAAUUUUUUCUGAAAGGUUAUUGAAGGAGUCUACUUAUCGUUAUUUUAACUCUCUUAUGAAAAUUGAGCUGGCACACAACCCCCUAGUUUCCUUUAGUUGUGCAAACAGCUAUUACUCUUUUAUACUGCCAUCUAUCAGGUACACACUAGUUAUUUGGAGUGGUUUGUCUUGGGAUCAGACAUUAUUUCACAAAGUUACCUUUUGGAACUGAUCAGUUUUUAUUUUAAUAGCAAACACAUGCAUAAAUGCUUGAGUACAUGCAUACUCAGAUUAUGUGGGACUUUGUGGGCUUGCAGAAGAUUCGAUUUGGUAUAGCUGUACAGGAAAACUGAGAUUAGUCUGUACUUGUUAACGUUUUAUAGGCUUACAGAGGAUACUGCCCACCCUCCAUUAUGAGUAAAUUCUAAUCGUUCCUAUAGAAGGAAUUGGUGCCCAGUAGAUAUCCAGACCUGUCAGUCUUCUCCAUUGUUCCUUGCUCUGUAUGACAAUUACUAGAAGAAGUUAACUCCCCAACACAUUGCACAAAGGUAAAAAGCAAAAAGACUAAAUCUUGAGCCCCCUGGCUGGAAGUGUUACCAGUGGUACAAUUUUUGAAAUGGAAGAAUGCAAUAUUGUGCACAUGCAAAUAAAUACACCGGUCACUGUAUAGAAAUUGGAAAUUUUACUUUCAAAAUGGUCUCUGUUUUUGUUGAAUUCAGGACGUCUGACCUGCUUGCUUGUUUUGAUAUUUUGUCAGGCUGAAGAGUGUAAUACAUAAUUUUCGUGGAAAUACGCUGUUUCCUAGAUUGAGAAUAGGUUAGUUGCUUUCCUUUAUCCUACUCCUUGCAUUACAGUGUGAAGAGCACAACCAUUAUUUCUGCACCUUAGGUAUUGGCAGGCCUCCUGGUCAAAUGGAUCCAAAAGCAUUUUUGCUGCAAAAGUUUAAUGCGGCUGCUAGGGAACGGGUAUGUCAUUCAGAAAGGCCCCUCUCUCUUCAAUUACCCUUCUUAUAUUGUUAAUACAGAAUUCUGCAGCCUGUAAGCUGUUUUUUAAGACUUAUUUUGGAGCCAUAUGUAAUGCCAUGGUCCAGCCAUGAAGUUGAUGAUUAGUUCAACUUGAUUUCCGUCAGAUUCUAAUUUCAUCAGAUGUCCUGGAAGGGACAAUUGUCAUCAGAUUUGGUUUCAUGAAAAGGAUACAUUCUGUAUUUGACUUUGUUUGUCUCCUUAUGCUGGCUGCAGUUUGUUUCUUUUUUUUUUGUGGGUAUUCUUUUUCAUUUUGGCGAUCGUUGAUGACAUUUACUUCUACCAUGCUUCCCAAAUGAAUUUCUCUGAGCAAUAUUUUUCAUUUCUAACUUUUGAAACACAAAAGGGAAAGGCGAAAGAGCUGACUUCUUCACUUUUUGGGUUCACUAGAUUGAUGCUGCACUAAAGGAAGGGGCUUACGCAUUGGAACAAGUCUUGUCUAAAGGCCUCACAGAAACAGCAAGAUGCUUCAACACAGAUCAGAAGUACAAGCAUAUAAGAUUGCAGACUAUGCCUACAUAACAAGUCCCUGUACCAAUAUCUUUUUCCCGAGUAGCAUGUGACUUUUAUUACAGAGUUACAGUGCAUAGACAGUUUACUAGCUACAUCUGUAUCAGAAUUUAAGGUGACCAACAUUCUUUGGCAGCCUAUCCUCUAUAGACAUUUACCCCUCUUAAACUGUAUGUAUUUCAAUCCAAAAAUUACCGCUAGAAAUAUGAUAAUUAAAUAGAAGAGGCACCUGUUAAUUCUUUUUAAAGACGGUAGGUAUUGGAAUUGCUUUGGUCUUGAUUAGACACAUUGCCGAUGCCUUGCAAGAUACUGCAUAAAUGUAAGGUAUUAUCAGAAAAGAAAUAUGAAUGUAACGUUAGUUAAUAUUCAAUAGGGAAAUGUAAAAGAUUUUAUAAGACUAAUUUUACUCAGAACUCGUUUCCACCUAUUUUCUUGAAACUUUUGAGGCAAAAACCAAUGUCCACUAACCAAUUUGGCUAAUGCUUUUCUUGCUACUAAAAACUUGAACUCGAUCAAUGCCAAUACUAUUUGAAUUUGACCUCAAAUGAGUAUAUAACAUUAAACUCGAGUUCGAUUCAAGGCCGAGUUCGAUUUAAGGCCGUUGUAAUCAAGCUUGAACUUGACUCGAUUGAGCUCAAGAAUACUGUGCGCCUUUUGGAAGCUCGAGCUCGAUUUUUGCUAAGAUAUGAACCUAUAAUAGUUAUUUCAUAAUAUUCUUGGGUACUUGAGUACUAAAUACUGAUGCUCGAAUUCAACUUGCUAUAUAUAUAUAUAUAUAUAUAUAUAUAUAUAUAUUGAGAAAUUGAGUUGGAGUUGAGUCUUUGACCAAGUAAACUUGGCUUGCCUGCAGCCCUACUAAAAAUAGAAGACGAGUUUAUGAUCAGGCACCCACCAUCCGUGGUGAUUGCAUGGUCCGUGGGAGGAUCUGGAGGGAAUGUGAGGACCUUUCACCGUGAUUUAAGCAGCUGUCUUUAGCUAUUGAUGAAGGAGAAAAGUAGAAACAGGACCGAAGAGUUCAACCAUGGCUGACAAGGGUUGAGGAAGGGUGGCUUAUGAUGCAUGAUCUAUUGAAGGAGGAAAACCAACUGAAGCCAGCCAAACGUGCGCUCCUUUUUUUUCUUCUCACAAGCGUCUGCUUUUGUUUUCUUUUCCCCAAGAAUUGCAAAUUAUUGGGUGACUUUGCUGCUUAUUUGGUAUCUUAAUUUACACGUCAAACUACAGUAUAGGACUUUAUAGACUAGUUGCAUUUGGUGAUCAGUUAGGUUAUGCAAUUUAUUUUGUGUGUUCAUUGUUUUGCCUCACCCAUGCAUCUGCUUAAUUCUUCUGGAUUUUGGUCUACAAAAUUUAUGAUGUUCUUCUCACAUGUCUGUGCAGGCACUGCAAAAGCAGCAGCUGCUUCUUCAAGUCCUGCCUAAUAUGAGAAUGGGGGGCUUUGUUUGAGAUGAUUAUUUAUUGUGCUUAAAGUAUUGAGUUGCCUUUCAUCUUCGGACUUGUUUUGUGAAGGUUGGGUUCACAAGAAACUCUUUUUGUCUUUGGAGUCUCCGGAAACACUCCAAAAACAAUUUAAAAGAGAUGCACAAUUUCAGGUACACCGUUACAGUAAAAGUUUUUCACAUACUAAGUUACGUAUUUUAUCUAUUAAUUCAUACAUUUUUGCAAAAAGUUGAUAAACCAAGUCUUAAGAUUUGCUUGGUUUAGGAGGAUACAUUGAGGGUUUGUUCUUAAUAAUGGUAAUAGUGAAAAAGUUACAACAAAAAGGGUUGGCAUGGGCUCAACCAACAAUAAAGGCCUUGUUUGGAAGCCUAGUUUUUUGUCAAGUUUGUCUGCUACAAGUUUUUUAAAAACUUUUAGUUGCAGUAACCUCAAAAAAUUUUUCAAAAUUUUUAAACUAUAAAUUUCAAAAUAUUCAAAAAAAACACACACUUUAAAAAAUUUUUAAAAAACUUCUACAGUAAAGACAAACCGAACGAAAUGUCAAUGAACUUGAAACUGAAAUUAAACCUUAAGUAGCUAAAGACCAAUCAAGUUAAAGAUAUGCCCAACUCUGCAACAAUAUUUGUGACAAACUGAGGUGUGAUUCUGAUUAUUGACGUUAAGUUCAUGUAAUUUUCAAGAACAACAGAAAUUGGGCUGACAGUAACAGAAAUCACAAGUGGAGUGUAAAUCUAUAAAAACUUAGGAAGGUUGGGUGGAGUCGGUAAAUAAUGUGGUUUUCACUUUGAUCAUGGAGAAUAAUCAGAAUCAUAAAAAAUUACUCUCUGAAUGAUUAUAAACUUUAGCCUUCACGUUCAUUAAAAAAUUUAAAAAUCUAUAAUCACAAUAUAAAAGCAAUCUAAAAUAUCACAAAAUUUGAUUAUAAAACAAUCAAAAUCUAUAAUCAGUUAAAAUAAUCAAUCAAGAACAAGUCCAUCCUAUAUAUUAUUGGGAUACCUUGUGUCAAAACUAGAAAGACUUCUUAACAAUUUUCAUACCCUUCAAUUUUUAGUGUGUCAUUUUCACAUGAUAGAAAUGACCUUUGAGCUUGGCAUAAUACCUUCUGUGACUCCCUCCAAUUCUACUUUUCUAAUCUUUUACUAUCAAAAUUCUUUCAGAUUAAUUUUUGUAGUUAGAUGUCCAGUGGGAACUGUGUUUUCUUCCACACCGAUCGAUUAUAAUAUCAGUUCUUCUCCAAAGUUUUCCAACAUAGGAAGUAGCCUCGUUAACAAGAAACCAAAAUGAUACUAGUUUCCAACCAUUUUUUGCCCCCUAAAAAUGCAGACUCAUCUUUUCAUCAAUAAACCAUCCUUUUUCUUUUAUAAAAACCCAAAAUGAUAAUUAAGAACGGAAAAAGAGAGCACAAACUCAUAAUCUAUUGCUCCCUUGUGCAUUUAGACACUUUCAUUAAUUUAAUUUUACUUCUAAUUAACGUUUGAAAUCCCUUUUAACUACUGACAAUUAAACUCGGUUAGAUUUUCAAUAUGUAUUCCAUUUUUUGUUUUACAAGGUUUGCUAAUAUCUUUUGAAAGGUGAAUUUGAUCCCUAACGUGAAAUCUGGCAACUUUGCCUGCUGUUGUCUGAAUUGAAGAUUUAGCAUUUGCACCAAAAAAAAGAAAAAAAAAAACUAAAAGAAGAAGAAGCAGAAGAAGAAAGCGCCGACUGGUACAAGGGGACGCGUAGCGCCUUUUCCUUCUCCAAUAUUUUUUCGGACAAAUCGAUGUUGCUGCGAGAUUCGACCCAGAACCUGACGAUGCUGAGGAAGAGACGCCAACCACCGGCCAUUCGCGUGGGGGCUGGCGCCAACCACGAGCCUUUUCCUUCUCCAAUAUUGGAAAGCGGAAAUUUGUAGGGGCCAACAAGGAUCCCAAUUGGCCCCAGAUGCAGACCAAAUUACGUACAUCACGUUGAGUGGAUAGGCAUUGUGUGUCUUCCCAAGUGCAUUCUUUGCGCGUGCUGUUCACUCUCUGUCACGUGUCUUUUUUACCCCUCGCUGUCUUUUUCUGUCUUUGUCUCUUUCUCUUUCUAUUUAUGAUUAAUCUUGGGAUAAAAAAUAAAACAACUCCAUUAGGUAAAUCUAAUAUACAGAAAAAUUUUCCGUAAUUUCAAAAUAUACAACACGACACUCCGUACUUUGAACUAAAUUAUAAAUGUAAUAGAAUCCGUUAAAUUUAACGGAAAUAAAUGAAAUGACCAGAAUGCCCUGAUAUAAUUAAGCAAAAUACAGAUAAAAAAAUCAUUUGUUUUAUUUUUUAGAUAGAGAGAAUUGAGGGUUCAGGGGUAGAAUAAGUAUAUUUGUUAAAAAUUAGGUAUAAUUUUUUUUUUUAGAUUCCAAUAAGUCAUUUCCGUUAAGUUUAACGGAUUCCAUCACCUUUACAAUUUAGUUCAAAGUACGGAGUCGUGUUGUAUAUUUUAAAACUAUGGAGAAUUUUUUUGUAUAUUAGAUUUACCACAUGCGACUUUUUUGUAGUUUAUCCUUAAUUUUGUAUGCAUUGAUAGUGUAUAUAUUAAUAUCUUUAAAUGCAUGUCAUAUGUGCAGAAAAUAAAAUUCAAAUUCAAAAUUAGAAUAAGGUAGCAUGUAUGUAAAGGCAUACAUGUUAGUGCAUUGAUAGUGUAUAUAUUAAUAUUUUUAGAUGCAUGUCACUGUUUUUUUUUUUUCAACUAUAAUCUAAGGAAUUGGGCUCAAAGAAAAGCAAUGAAUAAAUCUUGGCAAAUAUAAGAGCAUACAAGUUCAAUAUUUUUUCUGAAUAGGUGACAAGUGAAAACCGCACAAAUAGAUCAAUUAAAGAUGGAUGAUGUUAAACGAACAAAAUUCAUCAUUCUUUGAAAGGAAUAUUUGAAAUAAUGUAUUUUAAAAAAACUGUAGUAGAACUUUCUUAACCAAAUAAUCGUAAUCCACCAACGACAGCGCGUGCCAUCACGCUCGCAUGGGGUACGCGUGUGGUACAAUUCUAUCUCCAUCCUUAGCUCCUAAGCAUACAU
rnacentral:lncRNA from 1 species